GACUCUUAGCGGUGGAUCACUCGGCUCACGCGUCAAUGAAGAACGCAGCUAGCUGCGAGAAUUAGUGUGAAUUGUAGGACACAUUGAUCAUUGACACUUUGAUCGCACCUUGCGGCCCCCGGGUUCCUCCCGGGGCCGCGUCUGUCUGAGGGUUG